GAUGAAGAACGUAGCGAAAUGCGAUAAGUAGUGUGAAUUGCAGAAUUUCCGUGAGUCAUCGAAUCUUUGAACGCACAUUGCGCCCACUGGUAUUCCGGUGGGCAUGCCUGUUCGAGCGUCAUUAUCCUCCCUCAAAACUCCUGUUUUGGUGUUGGGCCGCGUUGGUCACCUCCGACCAACGGGCCUCAAAGACAAUGACGGCGUCCGUGGGACCCUCUUCGCAGUGAGCUUUUGUUAGCGCGCGUUGAGUUUAAAGGACCCUCCGGGACGGCCACCUUUAUCUAUUUUACAAGGUUGACCUCGGAUCAGGUAGGAAUACCCGCUGAACUUAAGCAUAUCAAUAAGCGGAAGA
rnacentral:misc_RNA from 1 species